AACGCGAAGAACCUUACCUGGCCUUGACAUGCAGGUGGUAGAACCAUGAAAGUGGGACGACCCCGCAAGGGGAGCUUGCACAGGUGCUGCAUGGCUGUCGUCAGCUCGUGUCGUGAGAUGUUGGGUUAAGUCCCGCAACGAGCGCAACCCUUGUUUGCUGUUGCCAUCAGGUUAUGCUGGGCACUCUGCAGAGACUGCCGGUGAUAAACCGGAGGAAGGUGGGGAUGACGUCAAGUCAGCAUGGCCUUUAUGUCUGGGGCUACACACGUGCUACAAUGGCCGGUACAAACCGUCGCGAGCCCGCAAGGGGGAGCUAAUCGGAGAAAGCCGGUCUCAGUUCGGAUCGUAGGCUGCAACUCGCCUGCGUGAAGUUGGAAUCGCUAGUAAUCGCGGAUCAGCACGCCGUGGUGAAUACGUUCCCGGGCCUUGUACACACCGGUACUA
rnacentral:rRNA from 1 species